AGAAAAAAAAAUCGUCAGGCAGGCAUAUUCUUUCAACCGUCAAGUCCAGCAGCUGUCAAAAUGCAAUGGAAAUCAGGUGAUUUCGGAAGGGCUGACCCCCAAAACGGACUUUGGAAUCUGCCUGCCUUCAUGGAAGUGUCACAAGCAUUUUAUACUAGGCUAUCUAUU